AACGAACGCUGGCGGCGUGCUUAACACAUGCAAGUCGAACGAGAAAGUUCCCUUCGGGGAAUGAGUAAAGUGGCGCACGGGUGAGGAACACGUAGGUGAUCUACCCUUUGCUGGGGAGCAACCCCGGGAAACCGAGGCUAAUUCCGCAUAAGCCUUCCGAAUCGAGGUUCGGAGGGGAAAGGUGGCCUCUUCAUGAAAGCUAUCGGCAAAGGUUGAGCCUGCGUCCUAUCAGCUUGUUGGUGAGGUAACGGCUCACCAAGGCAUCGACGGGUAGCUGGUCUGAGAGGAUGAUCAGCCACACUGGAACUGAGACACGGUCCAGACUCCUACGGGAGGCAGCAGUGGGGAAUAUUGCGCAAUGGGCGAAAGCCUGACGCAGCAACGCCGCGUGAGUGAUGAAGGUUUUCGGAUCGUAAAGCUCUGUCAGG
rnacentral:rRNA from 1 species